GAGCACCACGCCGAUGGACGGAGA
rnacentral:miRNA from 1 species